rnacentral:tRNA from 7 species
GCGGGAUUAGUUGAUCGGCUCAACGUCACCCUUCCAAGGUGAAGAAAGGGGUUCGACUCCCCUAUCCCGCUCAA